UACGGGGGGGAGCAAGCGUUGUUCGGAUUUACUGGGCGUAAAGGGCGCGUAGGCGGUCAGCACAAGUCAGUUGUGAAAUCUCCGAGCUUAACUCGGAAAGGUCAACUGAUACUGUGCGACUAGAGUGCGGAAGGGGCAACUGGAAUUCUUGGUGUAGCGGUGAAAUUCGUAGAUAUUCGAGAAGACACCGAGCGAAGGCGGGUCACUGGGACCGACACUGACGCUGAGGCGCGAAAGCGUAGGGAGGCAACA
rnacentral:rRNA from 1 species